rnacentral:rRNA from 1 species
GACGAACCGUCCUAACGUUAUUCGGAAUCACUGGGCUUAAAGGGCGCGUAGGCGGCCCUGCAAGUCGGGGGUGAAAUCCCACAGCUUAACUGUGGAAGUGCCUCCGAUACUGCGGGGCUCGAGCGAGGUAGGGGCAGCUGGAACUUCCGGUGGAGCGGUGAAAUGCGCAGAUAUCAGGAGGAACACCGGUGGCGAAGGCGGGUCUCUGGGCCGUAACUGACGCUGAGGAGCGAAAGCCAGGGGAGCAAACGGG